UACGUAGGGUGCGAGCGUUGUCCGGAAUUAUUGGGCGUAAAGAGCUUGUAGGCGGUUUGUCGCGUCUGCUGUGAAAAUCCGGGGCUCAACCCCGGACUGCAGUGGGUACGGGCAGGCUAGAGUGUGGUAGGGGAGACUGGAAUUCCUGGUGUAGCGGUGGAAUGCGCAGAUAUCAGGAGGAACACCGAUGGCGAAGGCAGGUCUCUGGGCCUGUACUGACGCUGAGGAGCGAAAGCGUGGGGAGCGAACAGGAUUAGAACCGUACGUAGUCAGACCAAGACCAUCUGUCAC
rnacentral:rRNA from 1 species